rfam:TPA: Bos taurus chromosome 8, whole genome shotgun sequence.
UCCCUGGUGGUUCAGUGGUAAAGAAUCUGCCUGCCAAUGCAGGAGACACAGGUUCGAUUCCUGGUCCAGGGA